GACGAACGCUGGCGGCGUGCUUAACACAUGCAAGUCGAACGAAGUGGCGAACGGGUGAGUAACGCGUAAUCAACCUGCCCUUCAGAGGGGGACAACAGUUGGAAACGACUGCUAAUACCGCAUACUGAAGGAGGGGAUUGCGUCUGAUUAGGUAGGUGGGGGGGUAACGGCCCACCAAGGCGAAGAUCAGUAGCCGGUCUGAUAGGAGUAACGGCCCAAAUGGGACUGAGACAAGGCCCAGACUUCUACGGGAGGCAGCAGGGGGGAAUCGUCCGCAAUGGAGGGAAGUCUGACGGAGCAACGCCGCGGGAGUGAUGACGGCCUUCGGGUUGUAAAGCUCUGUUAAUCGGGACGCGGUACCGGAAUAGAAAGCCACGGCUAACUACGUGCCAGCAGCCGCGGUAAUUC
rnacentral:rRNA from 1 species